rnacentral:lncRNA from 1 species
CCAGCCCUAGGACUACUUUUAGCUGGUGGACACUCACUUGAUACAGAAAUCCCAAGCAAAAUACAAAAUCUGGGUUACAAGACCAUGAAGGUCCACUGGUUUGGACAAAAGUCUGAGGCUGACGGCGGAAGCGACCCGAUGAAUCUCCAGUGCCCAUGGGACUCCAUUCCCACAGGAACAGCUCAACUGGAUAAAUUCCUAUCUCACAAGGUUGCUAUCCUCGACUCCUAG